AUUGAACGCUGGCGGCAGGCCUAACACAUGCAAGUCGAACGGUAACAGGAAGAAGCUUGCUUCUUUGCUGCCGAGUGGCGGCCGGGUGAGUAAUGUCUGGGAAACUGCCUGAUGGAGGGGGAUAACUACUGGAAACGGUAGCUAAUACCGCAUAACGUCGCAAGACCAAAGAGGGGGACCUUCGGGCCUCUUGCCAUCGCAUGUGCCCAGAUGGGAUUAGCUGGUAGGUGGGGUAACGGCUCACCUAGGCGACGAUCCCUAGCUGGUCUGAGAGGAUGACCAGCCACACUGGAACUGAGACACGGUCCAGACUCCUACGGGAGGCAGCAGUGGGGAAUAUUGCACAAUGGGCGCAAGCCUGAUGCAGCCAUGCCGCGUGUAUGAAGAAGGCCUUCGGGUUGUAAAGUACUUUCAGCGGGGAGGAAGGGAGUAAAGUUAAUACCUUUGCUCAUUGACGUUACCCGCAGAAGAAGCACCGGCUAACUCCGUG
rnacentral:rRNA from 1 species